GGAAAUGGUGCCCUGGAAAGCCAGGGUUCUACUCCCUCCGCCGAUUUGGAGGACAAAGAAGGCAAAGCUCUUUCGUGGAAGCUCGGUUCUCUCAGUCCCGACCGAGGCCGUUAUAACUCAAAUUCACAACCUCCGGGGAUGCGAAAACACCCGGCCUUACUGAGGAACAAAGGUUUUGGGAGGUCAUCAGUGAUGAGCAUGGGAUUGACCCCACUGGCAGUUACCAUGGAGACAGUGAUUUGCAGCUGGAGAGAAUCAAUGUUUACUACAAUGAAGCCACUGGUAACAAAUAUGUUCCUCGGGCCAUCCUCGUGGAUCUGGAGCCAGGCACGAUGGAUUCGGUUAGGUCUGGACCAUUCGGCCAGAUCUUUAGACCAGACAAUUUCGUGUUUGGCCAGAGUGGAGCUGGGAAUAACUGGGCCAAGGGCCACUACACAGAGGGAGCCGAGCUGGUCGACUCGGUCCUGGAUGUGGUGAGGAAGGAGUCAGAGAGCUGUGACUGUCUCCAGGGCUUCCAGCUGACCCACUCUCUGGGGGGCGGCACGGGGUCCGGGAUGGGCACCCUGCUCAUCAGCAAGAUCCGGGAAGAGUACCCAGACCGCAUCAUGAACACCUUCAGCGUCAUGCCCUCACCCAAGGUGUCAGACACGGUGGUGGAGCCCUACAACGCCACCCUCUCUGUCCACCAGCUGGUGGAAAACACCGAUGAAACCUACUGCAUUGACAACGAGGCCCUGUAUGACAUCUGCUUCCGCACCCUGAAGCUGACCACCCCCACCUACGGGGACCUCAACCACCUGGUGUCGGCCACCAUGAGCGGGGUCACCACCUGCCUGCGCUUCCCGGGCCAGCUGAACGCAGACCUGCGCAAGCUGGCGGUGAACAUGGUGCCCUUCCCCCGCCUGCACUUCUUCAUGCCUGGCUUCGCGCCCCUGACCAGCCGGGGCAGCCAGCAGUACCGGGCGCUCACGGUGCCCGAGCUCACCCAGCAGAUGUUCGACUCCAAGAACAUGAUGGCCGCCUGCGACCCGCGCCACGGCCGCUACCUGACGGUGGCCGCCAUCUUCCGGGGCCGAUGUCCAUGAAGGAGGUGGACGAGCAGAUGCUCAACGUGCAGAACAAGAACAGCAGCUAUUCGUGGAGUGGAUCCCCAACAACGUGAAGACGGCCGUGUGCGACAUCCCGCCCCGCGGCCUGAAGAUGUCGGCCACCUUCAUCGGCAACAGCACGGCCAUCCAGGAGCUGUUCAAGCGCAUCUCGGAGCAGUUCACGGCCAUGUUCCGGCGCAAGGCCUUCCUGCACUGGUACACGGGCGAGGGCAUGGACGAGAUGGAGUUCACCGAGGCCGAGAGCAACAUGAACGACCUGGUGUCUGAGUACCAGCAGUACCAGGACGCCACGGCCGACGAACAGGGGGAGUUCGAGGAGGAGGAGGGCGAGGACGAGGCGUAGACGCCCCGCGAGACGGGUUAGGGAAAGCGGAGGAGGAAAGCGAGGGGGUGGGGGGCUUCCCGGGACGAUACCCUGGCAGUCGAAGGAAAGAAGCAUGGUCUACUUUAGGUGUGCGCUGGGUCUCUGGUGCUCUUCACUGUUGCCUGUCACUUUUUUUUCCUUUUUUGCAAUAUUGAUGACAUCAGUGUAACAUUUGAGAUAUUUCUGAAUUACUGUUGUAAUGGCUAAAAUCACAUAAACGUUUGUGUCGGAAUGGUGUCCUCUCUUCUUUCUCUUCCUUUUUAUUAACGAUUUAAAUGUAACUUUCUGAACACAUUGCAUUAAAUUCUUCCUUUAACAAAAAGCAAAGGUGUAGGUAAAAGCUCAAAUGAAUUUAUUCUUUGGGUAUGGUAAAAUUGAACCAAUCACAGUUAAGAUGAGAGAUCAACCUGAGUUUUAAAAUACCUUUAAUAAAUAUUAGUUG
rnacentral:sRNA from 1 species